AGUGAACGCUGGCGGUAGGCCUAACACAUGCAAGUCGAACGGCAGCACAGUAAGAGCUUGCUCUUACGGGUGGCGAGUGGCGGACGGGUGAGGAAUACAUCGGAAUCUACUUUUUCGUGGGGGCUAACGUAGGGAAACUUACGCUAAUACCGCAUACGACCUACGGGUGAAAGCAGGGGAUCUUCGGACCUUGCGCGAUUGAAUGAGCCGAUGUCGGAUUAGCUAGUUGGCGGGGUAAAGGCCCACCAAGGCGACGAUCCGUAGCUGGUCUGAGAGGAUGAACAGCCACACUGGAACUGAGACACGGUCCAGACUCCUACGGGAGGCAGCAGUGGGGAAUAUUGGACAAUGGGCGCAAGCCUGAUCCAGCCAUACCGCGUAGGUGAAGAAGGCCUUCGGGUUGUAAAGCCCUUUUGUUGGGAAAGAAAAGCAGCAGGUUAAUACCCCGCUGUUCUGACGGUACCCAAAGAAUAAGCACCGGCUAACUUCGUG
rnacentral:rRNA from 1 species